AUGGUCUUGGCCGUGCUGAUGGUCUUGGCCUUGGUGAUGGACAAGGGCAGGGUCGUUAUAGAGGAAUGUUUGGAUACCUCGAUGGACCAUUUCCGUAUGGCGACUUUCCAACCCAACAAACCAACAAUGAAGGAGGAUGGCGAAGAUGAGAUGGCGGGAUGGUGGGAGAAGGCUGCGAAGAAGCUCAGAGAGAAGGAUGCAGCCGCACUAAAGAAGAAGAAGGAAGAGGAGCUUGAGGAGAAGAGGAAGGAAACAGAGAGAGCGUCAAAUGCGAUGUGCGCUAGGGAGCAAGCGUUGGUGAGGAAAUGUGAGGAGGCAUAG
rnacentral:rRNA from 1 species